AACGAACGCUGGCGGCAUGCCUAACACAUGCAAGUCGAACGAGAUCUUCGGGUCUAGUGGCGCACGGGUGCGUAACGCGUGGGAAUCUGCCCUUUGGUUCGGAAUAACAGUUGGAAACGACUGCUAAUACCGGAUGAUGACGAAAGUCCAAAGAUUUAUCGCCAGAGGAUGAGCCCGCGUAGGAUUAGCUAGUUGGUGUGGUAAAGGCGCACCAAGGCGACGAUCCUUAGCUGGUCUGAGAGGAUGAUCAGCCACACUGGGACUGAGACACGGCCCAGACUCCUACGGGAGGCAGCAGUGGGGAAUAUUGGACAAUGGGCGAAAGCCUGAUCCAGCAAUGCCGCGUGAGUGAUGAAGGCCUUAGGGUUGUAAAGCUCUUUUACCCGGGAUGAUAAUGACAGUACCGGGAGAAUAAGCUCCGGCUAACUCCGUGCCAGCCGCCGCCGUAAGAC
rnacentral:rRNA from 1 species